UUGAAUGUAUAGGGAAUUGGAAGGGACCAUUUCCAUGGGCCAUCUGUUUCACAGGCUGCAGCGCUAACAAAGGAUCGCAGGAUGGUUUUAGUGCAUGUUGGAUAUCUGGUCCUUCCCGUUUUUGGCUCAGUGAGAAAUAGAGUAUCGAGGCUGGCUCUACAUUCUGCAUUUAUCAGAUCUUUGUCCCCCCUCCAUUGUGUAGCUAAUGAUCAUCUGCUGGCUGUGUGGUGUGGCCUCUGCCUGUACUCUGCAUUUAGCUGUAUUGUGAAUCCCCUCUUCCUCAUUUCCUCUUUCCAUCAGAAGACGACAUUGGCAUUAAAGAGAGAACUCACUCAUACAGUAUCCUCCUGUGUAACAGACUAAAAAAUAACCUUCUAUAGAAAACCUUUGUCUUUUCUGUCAAGUUGCUGUAUACUAAAUAACCCAUUGUAGCAAUAGAAAUUAAAACAAAUGUCAUUGUGUACCUCCCAUCCAGUCUUGAUAGACUAGCUACAUUAUGCUGUAAAUUCUUGUAAAGUGGAUACAUUUUGCUUAUUAUAGUUUCGAUUAUAGCUGGGCUUGAUCGAACUCAAAGAUUUUGUCUCCAUUUUCUCCCUUUAAAGGUGCAUUGUACCAAAAAUGAAUGUAUUCUGAAUGAAACCGAAUACUUGAUACUUCAUCACGUUUCAUUUUACCCCAAAUUCAGAUCGCCUCGUUGCAGGUUUUCAGCUGUCGCCUUAAGAAUAGCGUCGGCCGAAAUUAUUUUCGAAAUUAUUUGCUUAAUUGGCAAUCGAGAAAUACCCUGAAAUCCUUUUAACGAAAUGGCACACUGCACCUGCUUUAAUGGUUGAACAGCCCAUCAUAAUCCCGUUCAUGUGUACGACCCUUUGUUUCCUUGAAAUUUAAAAAACAAUUUCUAGCUAUUCUAUAUAUGGCUAGACAAAUCCCAAGCAAUUUUUCCCAUGAGAAUUCUCUCCCCGUGGCUUCCUGCUAUGCAAAUUUUACACGUAUUACCUAAGUACAAAAUGCUAUCCAUUUCACAGGGAUGUUUAUUUCUUGCACUGCUAUAGAAGUCCUUUUUUAGAAUCGAAAAUGUCUUAUUCUUUGGUUUGUGGUUCUCUGCCUUUUGUUCUUGUAUUAGAGUUUAAUGCAUGGUCAUGUUUUAUUCUUUUUGUUUUACAUUGAAUAGCGAAUUCCAAUGUAAUCUUUCUGUAGAAAAGAUGUACCCUGCUGUACUGUAAUGUGCUGUAGCAUACACAUCUGCUCAUUGGAUGCUACUUUUGUUCUGUUAACCCUAUACUGAGCAUGGUGGGUCUUGCCUUCAGUCUUUUUUUGCAUGGAAUUUAUUAUUACACAGUUCCACAUAUACUAAUAUUUUUCAAUAAAGAAUAUAGUAUUUUUCCUAA